UCUGACAUACAGGACAGACACACAGAGAUGAAGGCCACAUGAUGACAGAGGCAGAGACUGGGGAUGAUAGAGCUGCAAGGCAAGGAAUGUCACAGAUUGCCAGCAACCCCCAGAAGCUAGAAAGAGGCAAGGAAGGGGCCCUAGCGCCUUCAGAGGGAGCAUGGCUCUGCCAGCACCUUGAUGUCAGACCCCUAGCCUUCAGGACUAUGAGAGAAUAAGUUUCUGUCAUUCUAAACUGCGCUGUUUGUGGCAGUUGGUUUCGGCAGUCCUAGAAAACAAAUACGCCUGAGAACACCAGGUUUGCUGAUUCUAAAGAUACCUCUUCUUCCUCAAAGGAUUUCAAGGCUGCCUGCUCUGUGGCUGUUGACACUGAAGGCCCUCGCUCUUGCCAAUAUCUGAUUCGCCUGCUCUUGAGGAAAGCCAGUGAGAAGCAUUAGACAGGGGAAUGACACCAUCUAUCUGAGAGUUUUACUGUGUUAUUUCUAUAAAAGUAAGCAGAAACCAACAGGCUGAACUGGAAGAAAACAACCCAUGGGGAUUUAAUCAAUGUAAUAAGAAACUGUCAGAAGAGAGAAAGACCUGUAAGAUAAGAAUUUUCCACUAAGUAUGAACUAAGUCUCUGUAACCUUCAUGUUCCUAGAGCUCUUGGAAUUUAUUUUAAAAACCAAACUUUUUUUUUUUUUUAAGUAAGGCUAUAAAGCUCCAGGAGCAUAGACAUUUUUAAGACUGCCAACUGGGAAAGUACUUUCAGGAUGAAACAGAUCGGUUUCCCUUAACAAGUAUUUUUAGUGGUUUUACUCUGAGUUCUGGUUGGGAAUAUUCCAGCAAUGUCACUUAGAAGUUGAAAGAGGACCCAGCUGCUUUGUCAGAAUGAUUCUUCGCCUGCCUUUUCCCUUCGAAAAUUUACCUUAGACUUUAUUCAUUUCUGUGAAUUGUCCCCAUUUGGGUGAUCCCUUUGUUCUCAGCAUAUGAUGGUAAGAAAAAGAUUCAGAUUCCAGCUUCACUGUUUUUUAGCUGCUGGGAUGUUUAGGCAAUGGAAGUAAGUUGAGAUGAUUAAAAGAGAUAAUGCACAUAAAGCCUUUAUUGUAUAGGAAAUACUUAAAAAGUUGACUGAAUGCAGGAACUGGCGUUGUGCCAUGACUAUGGGGACUCUUCAGGGAAAGAUCAACUGGCCCCAAACGGAACUGAAGCAGCAGCUGUUCAAGCAUCUGUGGAUGUUGAACUGGGAGUGGCAUCUGGGGCAUCGGGUGGUCGGGGCUGUGACAGACCAAGGGCUGAUCAUGCAGCACCACCUCAAGAAGCGGGCAUCCAGUGCACGUGCCAACAUUACUCUGUUGAGGAAGAAGCUCAGAAAACUUCUCCAGCAGAUCCAGUUUGCCCAGAAAGAGAAGGCAGCCACAGAAGCGGAAACCCCCUCAAAGCCAGCCAGGACUAGUGAACCACAACUCAAAGGUCAAAAGAAGACAAAAGCCCCCUAGGAUGUAGAAAUGAAGGCCCUUGAAGAUGAGAGCUAAACCUCUUCCUCUAGAAGAUUCUCAAUGGGAUCCAGAAGGACUCAGUGGCUGUUUCAGAGGACUUUGGCAAAAGCAGUGCCCCCUUUCACUCACCAGAUUUCCUCCCUCAUCCUCCUCUGGAAAAAUGUCUUUGGGAGGGAAGAAGGUACAGAAUAAAGACUGGAGAAGGGCCUCUCUAGCAGUCAAUUUCGUUUGUAAUAAAGCCCUAGCACUCUGAAAAAAAAAGUUCACUGAUUAAUAAAUUCAUAAUUCAACAACUGUGUACCAUGAGACCAUCAUCUGUCCCUAAGGGCAGUGGAUGCAAAUGAUCCCAGACAUGUCUCCUUACCUCAGGAUGCUUUCAGGUUUUUAACUGAUGAAAGUCUUUCUACAACAACAAACAUUGACCUUUAUUGUGUAGAGUGAGAGCUGAGGCUGAGAAAUAAGAGGAACUGGACUGCUUGAGAGUUUGCAUUUAAACCCCCUGUUAAUGAUAGAGGAGAAAGGGCCGAGAAGAUUGAGAUGCAGAGCAGAGAAAGAAGGAACCAGCCUGGGCUGCACUUCGGAGUUUAUGGAAACUUUCAUUUUUUAAUUAAGGUCAAAUCUUGAGUACUUACAAGAAUACCAGCAAGUUCAUGGAUUAAAUAAAAUGGAUUUCAAACCUAUACACUUCAUAUAACUAUCUUGAUGGCUGAAAAGGUUUUUAUCUCAUGUUUUUAUUUUCCUUUUGAAUCAUGUUCUCUCUGGGUUUCCAUUAGUUGCACAUAAUAGAAUUGAUCACACCUAGAAACUGUGUUCAUCAAUGCACACAUGAAAUAUAUACAUACAUUGUUAUGAGAUUUCAAGCAAGCCACAUUAGCGUUCAUGGUCUCAGUCUUCAAAUGAGGUAGGUAACUCUGAAGUCUUUCCAAAUCCCACUGGAACUCUAUGAUAUGAUUCACAUAAUGAAAUUUCUUCAGAGGUUGGGAAGGUAACCUAAAUGGAUGAACUAGGCUGGAGAUAAACUGGAAAUGCUAUGUAGCCAGUACUAUUAGGUUGGUGUACAAGUAACUGCAGUUUUUGCCAUUAAAAGUAAGUACAAACCUAAUAUUAUCAAGAAACAUUGGCAACCCUUUCUUUGCUAUAUUGUAUUUUUUCUAUUAAAAAUUUAAAUUUGUAAUGUAUUUAUAUUUAAAUUUUCAAUUUGUAUCUCCUCUAUCUAAGAUAAAAGUUGAAAAUAUUGUAUCUUAAGAAAUCCUGGGUGUGCCCCACAAAACCCAACCACACUGAUCUGGGGCUCUGGGGAUAUCAGUUUGACUUAGAAUCUACAAUUGUUUAUCAGAUACUGUGAAAGAGCUGCAGAAGAUGGCACACAAACUGUUCAACGCUGGUGUGAAGAUGAAAGUGCUGACUUGAGACACCAUGGUCUGAAAACUCAAGGUGGAAUUUCACAGUGAACACAUGGAUUAUGAGCCCAGAAUGAAUUCUUAACUGGUCCCUGAGUGUCGUUAAACUGCGGAACUGCUAGAAGAAAGCUGUAGCUGUCCAUGGUGCUUAAGAAUUUUCCCUAAUGCUGGAGUCUCAAAGUCUGUGAUAUGGAAAUACUUUACAUUGAACAUAUUGUGCAUUAACAAUGACAAUGACAACAAACCCAGUCCCCCCACAACAAAUCACUUUGAUAUGGCUCAAGAGGAUUUAAUGUAUUUGUGACUCAACUCAAUAACAAACACUUAAAUAGAAACUCAUAUUCUUGAUUUUCUUUCUGUAGUUCUAUAACAAUUUGCGUGUAUGUAGAAUAAUGUGUGUGUGUGUGAUUUAUCUCUUAAAGCUUCUACUAGCAUCACAUAUUUCCCCGAUGUUAAUAUUUUCAUGAUUUGAUUGUCUACACUCCCAAAGUACAGUGCUUGACACAAGUGACUGUUUAGGUACCAGCAAUUUUGCUCUGGGCUCUGGAGUGUGUAAUAGGAAUAUCAGUUUAUGAUUCUUCUUCCUAUAAGUUUAACUCCAUAGUAACAAUUACCUUUUAUAAAUUUAAGAAAAAUCACUGUUGUUCCAAAGUGAUGGGAUUAAAAAUUCCUCAGAAGAAACUAAGAAGAAAGAAGUUGAAAAACAGCAUCUAAUCCCGAAAAUUUCCAACUCUGAAAAUACGCUCUGAAAAUCCUACUUUAAAAAUACAACUCACCUGAUUUAUUUUAAAAUGAAACAUCAAUUCUGUAUAUUCAUAGAGACCCAGAGCAAAAUGAUUUCGGCUGGAUUUCAGUUACAGUAACCAUUUUUGUCAUAAAUAUUCUGAAAUGCUGACCCUCUGUUGAUACUGGCUAGAAGAAUUUUUGUGUGUAUUUGAAAUAACUUAUUAUUUUGGAGCUAGUACUCUCAUUUGAUUGGUAUACCAACAACAAAAGAAGAGAAGACAGAAAUAUGUGUUCCAACAAAAUAAACAUUAAAGUCUUCUAUUUUUACAAUGAAGCUUUAAAAGCUUCGUGAGAUAAAUCUGAUAAAAUCAGGGAAAUUAAUAAAAAAUUAAACAAUAAAUGAAGAGAAAUCUUAAGAAGCAUUAAAAUAGGAGGCUCCUUAAAAUGACAUAUAAUCCCCAUCAUUUCAGAUGCUUUAUGUGUCUUCAUCAUUCCUCUGACUUCCUAAUGAAACAGGUCUAUUGACCUCCUAAAUUAAUCAUCCAACACCUAUUAGCCUUCAUUUUGAGGACAGUUUCAUCCUAUUUAAUCAUAAUCUUUGCCAUACAAAGCUUAUUUACUUUUUGAGCCUUUAUGUUUGUGUUUUUAUAGAGAAAACCUUGUCAUUACUCUUCACAUAACUGAAAAUAGUCACUAAAUUAGUGAGGUUUCUUACUUUUUUCAGAUAAAUAGACCUCAUAUUUUCAAACUCUUUUACUCUCCAACUUCUAAUAUAAGGUUACUUUGCAUAGUACUUUUCCAAAUUCCUCACACCCCACUGGUUAUGCAAUCCCUUCUGAGAGGGGAAAGCAUCCCAGAGGCUACCUGUCAGCUGCUAUUAUAUUUUUUGUAAAUGUUACCUUCAUGGUCUUGCUCAAAUCCAAAUGGAAAUUAUAGAGAAGAGUAUUUAAGAAAUUCUAUGUAUAGUAGGAAGUAGGUGCUAAUAGAUUUCCUUAGGCGAAAAAAAAACUGGAUUUAGGAAUGCUGAAACAGAGGAAAUCAGAUACCAUCUUGAAGAAUGUUCUUUUGGAAAGUUUAUGAGAUUAUCAAUUCUCUUGAAGCAAUAAAAAUAUAACUCUUCAUAGUUGCCAUAAUGUAAUUGUUAAUUGAGCUGAAAUGAAAAUUCUGGUUUCAACAUAUACUUUGGUAUCACUUUAAAAUAAAAAUAGUAUGGCUUACUAGACAAUAACAAACAAAAAUCAUGUCUCCUUUGAUGCUAUUACAUCUUUGGCAGAAAAGCUGAAAAUAGCUGAUUAAUAGGUAGUUUGUAAUUCUGCUGGUAUACCUCAAAACUGCGGGAUAAGUCAAGACAGUCUUUAAAAGAAUCAUGGGGUAUUUAUCAGAAAUAACCAGUUAGUAAUGUUACAAAAUGCCCAUUAGACACAGGCAUGUGAAUUAGUUUCUCUGGGAAGUUAAGAAAUAGGAUAUAAAAAAGAAAACACGGGAUAUUCAAUCACUAUCUUCAAGGUACUAACUCUCAACUUGAAGAGCCUAGGCAACAAAAAUUCCAGUGUCAGAAUCAUACAAACAAACAAAGCAAUAAAGAAUAUGACCCCCAAACAAUCUUAGCACAUAGGUAUCAUUGACUUUGGCUGGGAAGGGCAGCCAGAGGAGAAAUGUCAAAGAGAGUUUCUAGAGCAUUUGGAGGUGCUAGACUCAGGUGAAGCUCAUAUGGAAAGACAUAUUUUGACUGAAAUUGUGAAAGGCUAUUUUCUUGUCCUAAUAGAAUCUGGAAGGUCAUCUCUGAAAGUAAUGAAAUUCUUUCUGCACUGCAAUAAGAUUCUUCAAUUUUUAAUUCAAGGAAAAUCCCAAAGCAAAUGGCACAUGAAAUAUUGGGGCUUGGGGGUGGUAGUGAUAAAAUUAUCAUCAAAAUUUAAAGACCUGUCAAUCUAAGCAUGCACACAGACCCAUUUCAAAUUAAAUUAUAUUGUUUUUAAAUGACAGAUGCCAUUUUUAUCAUGCACAUUCCUGCAAUCUAAUUUACAAUAAGUCUCCAAAUAGCUUAAGGCAAUUAUUUUAGGUAGUGCUUUAUCUAGCAGUCAUGUCAUUUGCCUUCUUAUUCUGUUUUUGUUGGAUAGAUGUGAAGGAGUUUUAAUGUAUUUCAUAUUUCUGCUAACAACAAAGAAAAUUAAGAUGCACCAAAAAAGAAUGAGCCCACAGAACAUCUGGUACUCUUCCCUCAUUUAAAAAAAUAUUUAAUACAGGUGUUUCCAUUCCAAACAUUCUAUCAUCUUCCAUUUAAUUUACAGUCAAGGUCCCCCACCAAACCAUCUUCAGCCAUAAGCUAUGCCUUUUAUCAUCUCAUAAUGACUCUAAUGUAGAGUCAUUUUUUUGCCAUAUGACUUCAGGAUCGAGUAUAACAUUAGAAGGGACUCCAAGAAAUAUCAGGGCUAUUACCUUGUGUCCCAGUAUAGUUGAAUCAGAUAUGGACAUGUCAUUUACUGUCUUAUUCAUAUAAUUCUUCUUGAAAUCAAAUUUCAAAAGAAUUUCUAUUAAUAAUUAAUAAUAGAAGUCCAGGGCCAGAGGCAAAGAGGGAAAAAAUUACAGCAAAAUUCGCGACUCAAAAAGUUUUUCCUACGUCAUACUUCAGGACAGAAAUUAACAAAAAAAGCUUAAUUCAACAAACCUUUUUUGAGAGUCUACUAAACACUGAGUGCUGUACAAGGUAUGUCUCUGUUGAUGUGAGCAUUUUGCCAUACUGAGUAUUUUUUAUUACAAUUUACAUUUGUUGGAAUGCAUUUAACUAUUUAUAUGCCUUUAAUUUAUAAUUUAACUCAUGAUAAAAUCUGAUUUAUGGUACAAUCAAUAAUGUCAACACUUUUAUAAUUUUUGCCAUAAUCUCAUAGUUUAAUUCCUACAUAGUGAUAUCAAUACUGACACAAUUGUACCUGGGAGAUAAUGUUAACUCAUUUGAAGAGGAAUUCAAGAGAAGUCCUUCUAGAAGACUUCUUUUUUGGAUAAUUCAGAACUACAAAGUUUGGUGGAUACAGAAUCGUGAUUAAUCUCACACUUGGUUAAGGGCAUAGAAUGUUGCUUAAUCAGACAUAAAUGCUUAA